GUAAGGACCCGGCUAUGUAACUUCCCCUGAAUCACAAUUCCACCAUUCUUUCUCUAUAUGUAAAAGCUCUCUACCUAUCUUCUACCUUCUACCUUCGGUUCCAGCAAUAUCAAAGGAGAACUUCCUCUAUUUUCCUUGAUUACUCACCAAAAUCUUCAAGGCAAUGUAAUUUAGCUCAAACCCUUUCAAGAAUUUAAGUUUUGGAGCAGGAGAGCAUAGGGAAGGUUCACACAUUGCUUGAGACUCUUGGUACGCAGCUGCUAAUCGAGGUAAGGGAUAUGUCAUGAAAGUUUAAUAGUCCAUGUUUUCAGUAUAGUAUAUGUAUCUAUAUUUUAUCAAUGCUUUAAGUAAACUCAGAUUUGAUACUUGUUUGCAAAAGAGUAUUAUGAAUUGAUUCAUAAACAAACUUUGAAAUAUUUUAAUUAUGAUAAUCUUUAGAAACCAACUGUGGAUAUGCUAUGAGUUUUAGCUUAGUAAGGCAAGAGAGAGAUUUAAAGAUAAAAGCAUGAUUCAUUUUUUAAACAAAGAAUUAUUUUUAGUGUGAUGGCCUUGAAGACUAACACCAUAGACCAUGAGGGGACAGUGAUCCUUGUAGACUGGAAACUUUAGGCCUCAAGGGGUUCUAUUCCCUGUAGACCAGCAACAUUUUAGGCCACGAGGGGCUGUAUUCCCUAAAGACAUGGCAACCUAGGCCACGAGGGGGUCGAUAGGUCUCUAAAGACUGGCAAUCAUUAGGCCACGAGAAGAUCUUCGGAUCUUUGAAGAUUGGCAACCUAGGCUACGAAAGGAUGUGUUCAUUGAAGACUGGCACCCAUUAAGUCACAAGAGGCUAAAAAUUUUAAAGAUACAAUAUAGUUACAUGUUUCAUAUAGUUUUGCUAUAUUAUGCAACAUAAUGAGAUAUACUUUUCUUCAUAACAAAUUAUGGAGCAUGUUAUGUUCUUAUAUAAAUGGAAUCAUGCUAUAUGUUCAGAUUUAAGUAGUAAGUUAUGCCUUAUGGUUUAUCAGAUACUAUGUUCACUGGUAAAAUAUUUAUAUAUUCAAAAAGAUCAUGAAAUCCAAUUAGCAUUAACUAUUUAUAAGCAAGUCAUAUCCAUAUGGAAAUAUUUUGUAUGUCAUGCAUUCAUGCAUACUAUUAAAUCUUCAUGUCAAGCCUCCCUUACCUAAGCAAAUAGAUUACUCAGUUUUGCAAGAAGUUCUUUAGUGCAGCCAAGAGCCUCAACUUGGAGAAGCAGUGUUUUUGUACAUGUAGCUAGUUUUGUAUAGUUACCCUGCUAUUUUAUGUAUAUAUAGUAGGAGUGAUGUAUUUGUAUAAAUAGUCUUCCGCUGUAUUAGGAUAUUUUGUACACAUGAUAUUAUGGUUUUGUAUAAACAGUUUAAAGAUGCUUUGAUUACUAUCACUUCCUGUAGACAGACAAGUUUAUCCAUAUAUUCUGAGUUAACAA